rnacentral:lncRNA from 1 species
CAAAAGGUAUAAACAUUCACUGAUUGAAAAACAAUGUCAUAAAGUCAUCCCAGUAUCUGUGAGGAGUUGGUUCCAGGACCCCUGAGGACACCAAAAUCCUCAGAUGCUCAAGUCCCUGAUAAAAAAAUAAAAGGGUGUCUGCUCAAUUUCCCAAUCAAACUCUUCAUCGUGAACUACUUCCUCAGGAAUUUCAGAAUCACCUAUUGCUUCCACAAGUGGUUUUGCUGUCCCGGAUUUUCCUGGUGCCAGAAGAGCAACACAUGUUCAGCCCCUCAAAAUGCUGGCCAGGGGUUUCUUUGGGCAGGGGCAAGUUAUGAAUAAAGUUGAGCCAUAAAUCAAAAGGAUGUUAACUGAAAAAGAAGUCUCAAAGCAGAUGGUGAGAAAGUGAAGACAGAGAGCCUCUGCCCCAGUUCAGGAGGAAUAUUCCGGACCAAACACACAAAGGAAGCAGUCUGGCAGCUGCCACUACCAUCCUGAUAACAUUGCUCCCUGGAGGAGACGUUGAGGACCAUUUCCCCAGAAAUGUGAGCUAAAACCAAACUGCUAAAAGACAUUUUUUGCUGGGUGUUGUGGCUCAUUUCUGUAAUCCCAGCACUUUGGGAAGCUGAGGCAGAUGGAUUGCUUGAGCCCAGGAGUUUGAAACCAGCCUGGGCAACAUAGUAAGACCCUGUCUCUACUAAAAAUAAAAAUAAUAAAAAAGGACAUUAGCUGGGUGUGGUAGUGUGCCCCUGGAGUCCCAGCUAUUUGGGAGGCUGAGGUAGGAGGAUUGUUUGGGCUUGGAGGGUGAGGCUGCAGUGAGCUAUGAUUGCACCACUGCACUCCAGCCUGGGCAGCAGAGUGAGACCCCAUAUCAAA